UUGAAAUCAUUAGAGAUAUUGCAAAGGAACUCACACUACUAGAAAAAAUGGAUUCAAGGACACACACUUUAUAUGGAGUCCUUGAAGGUUUUUAAGGACACAUAAUGUUAAAUUGAAAAUUUUUAAGGGUAGAGAGUCUUUCAAGGACACCCAUAAACUGUAUGCCGUGUCCUAAUAUUGGGCUCCAACUGAAAAAUUUAAAUCCUAUUGAAAUACAAAAACGCGCGGUGCUGCAGCUAUACUUAGCUUUUUCGAUUCCCACCCGCAAUUUCACUUCCCUCCUCCCCCAAUUUUUGAUUUCCCUCUUCAAUUGAAACCUUUCCUAAAUAGAGAAAAAUGACUCAUUCACUCUAUUUCCAGUUCUUAGUUGUAAUAGGAAAAAAAAAACUCGAGCCGAGAACAGAUUCGAUCUGGUUCGACUCGGCGGUGACUCGUAACAGACAGUUCAAGUCAUACUGAGGUUGCUUGGUGUGAGACAUACUUUGGGUUGACAGAAUCUGGGAAGAGUUUCAGUACAAGGUGUGAAUUUUAAUCCCAGCAGCAAGGAGUAUACGCACGGAGUAGCAAUAAGAUUUCGGUCAUGUGAGCAGGUUGAGGGGAAAGACACUUACACUCAAGAAGAGAUUGAGUGUAAAGACCACCGCCUCUCUCCACAACUCAAGAUCUCACUCAAUGAUAUGAGGGAAUGUCGGCACGAGAGAGAAUCAGCAGAAGAAACCAAUGUACGAAGGUGGAGAAGGAUACGAGGUCAAUGUAUUUGUUUAUAUGUUGUGAAAUAAAGUACUGUCACUCUGUCAGUAUGAACAUAGUGUUUUAUUUGAUUUGUUUGUGUCGUUUGAUCGAUCUGUUUCGAUAUGGCUGUCAAUGAAGCUCUUUUGCAAAAGCUGGCCAAAAUCUGAUUUGCAAACAUUAUUCUCCCUCUUCUAGACCCUGCAGACUGCUUACUGAUGCUUGGAGUCGAACGAAUUGAGAGGUUAUUACCGACUGGUAUUUCUUUGAGUGGUUUUGGGGAGGUGCAGAGAGGGAAACUCUAUGUUGGAUAUUAUGUGGCUAUGACGUUUUCAGCUUCACUUGAUGAGCAUCAACAAAUUCAAGCAAACUGAGGUAAUGGAGCUGAUCUAACAUGGUCUGAAGUUAACAAUAUGCCUUAGACCACCAAGGUAAACAAUGCAUGUACUCAAAUCUUAUAGCUUUGUCAAAUAACUUUUCAGUUGAACUAAUUUACAUUAUUGAUCAAAAUCUCUGUAAUCAAUGAAACUCUCUGAAGGGCGACUAUUUUACCUUGGUUUUCAAGAAGGCUUCCCAGAGUUUUGAGAUUGCUGGUACAACAUUUUGUCUCCCACACCACAUAACAAAAGCCAAUGUUUACUGCACCAGUUUGACCAUGUAAUUCUAAGACAUUUUUUCACUAUUGUAGGAUAUAAUAUAGAGUAAGGUUGGUCUGUUAACUUGGAUGUUGUUUUUAUUCAUCAUGAUCCAGAAGACUUUCCUGAUCCUCAAAAGUUUGAUCCUUCCAGGUUUGAUGUAUUAGCUUUUUUACAGAGCAUUUAGGAAGGUCCUUGGAGGUAUGUGAGUGCUAUGAUUUUAAUAUUAAAAACUCAGAAGCUUCUUCUUCUUCUUGGCCUUCUGGGGUCUGGAACAAGCACUUUCUUCAAGCAGGCCACAGAUUGCUGUUAUCAUUUUCGAAUGGAUUCCAGAAAAACCACUUGCUUAUCGGAAUCAACUAUCUAAGUUGGUUUCAGCUGUAAUCAUUUCAGUUUGAGGGGAAAGACACUUACACCCAAGAAGAGAUUGAUGUACUUCGAGUAGAGUGGGUAGAGUAGGUUGAUGGGUAUAUCCAAGUUGCAUGAAGUAAAAUAGUUAGCAUUCUGGUAUGAAGUUAUAUAUGUACGCAACAUUCAGCUUUGAAUUAAAUUGGUCGAAACAAUGGUAGUACUACAUUCUAGAUCUUGGACUUGUGGUGUUUGUAGGUUAAUUACUUGUUUUGGAUCCUAGACAUGUAUUAAUGGAUGGUCUCUAAAUAUAUAAGGAUUGCUUGUUGGCAAUUUUGAUAAUGUAUUUUCAAAUGGAUUUAAUGAUUCCAUUUCCAGAACUUUAAGGACAUGAUAUAUGUGUUCUAGUAUGGAAAACAGGACACCUAUGGAAAUGUAUAUUUGUGUCCUCAUAUGAAUGUAAGGACUCUGUUUUCAGAUAUUUGAGGACACAAUUUGCGUGUCAUUGUAUAAAAAAGAGGACACAUUUCAGAGUGUACUUUUUGUGUCCUCUUAAAGAUUUAAGGACUCUAUUUCGAGAGCUUUUAGGACACAAUUUAUGUGUUCUUGUAUGAAAUAGAGGACACAUUUGAUAGUGUGCUUUUUGUGUCCUCUCAUAGAUUUAAGGACACAAUUCAUGUGUCUUUACAUAGAAAAGAGGACACAUAUUAGGUAAUAUAAGGAUGCAACUUAGGUGUCCUCUUAUACAUAUAAGGACACCACAUCCAAAGCUAUUAGGACACAUAAACCGUGUCCUCGUAUAGAUAAGAGGACACAUUUUCUGUGUCCUUGUUUGGGACUUACGAUGACUCCCGG